rnacentral:rRNA from 1 species
UACAGAGGGUGCAAGCGUUAAUCGGAAUUACUGGGCGUAAAGAGCACGUAGGCGGUCGUGUAAGUCAGAUGUGAAAUCCCCGGGCUUAACCUGGGAACUGCAUUUGAUACUGCAUGACUAGAGUAGAAUAGAGGAAAGCGGAAUUUCCGGUGUAGCGGUGAAAUGCGUAGAGAUCGGAAGGAACACCAGUGGCGAAGGCGGCUUUCUGGAUUCAUACUGACGCUGAGGUGCGAAAGCGUGGGGAGCAAACAGG